rfam:Schistosoma mansoni, Puerto Rico, WGS project CABG01000000 data, contig: 0013
GACGGAGUAGCUCAGUUGGGAGAGCGUUAGACUGAAGAUCUAAAUGUCCCCGGUUCGAUCCCGGGUUCCGGCA